GUGGGUAUAGCUCAGUGGUAGAGUGCAUGCUUAGCAUGCAUGAGGUCCUGGGUUCAACCCCCAGUCCCUCCA
rnacentral:tRNA from 1 species